UAGGGAAUCUUCGGCAAUGGGGGGAACCCUGACCGAGCAACGCCGCGUGAGUGAAGAAGGUUUUCGGAUCGUAAAGCUCUGUUGUUAAGGAAGAACGAGUGUGAGAAUGGAAAGUUCAUGCUGUGACGGUACUUAACCAGAAAGGGACGGCUAACUACGUGCCAGCAGCCGCGGUAAUACGUAGGUCCCGAGCGUUGUCCGGAUUUAUUGGGCGUAAAGCGAGCGCAGGCGGUUAGAAAAGUCUGAAGUUAAAGGCAGUGGCUCAACCAUUGUAGGCUUUGGAAACUGUUUAACUUGAGUGCAGAAGGGGAGAGUGGAAUUCCAUGUGUAGCGGUGAAAUGCGUAGAUAUAUGGAGGAACACCGGUGGCGAAGGCGACUCUCUGGUCUGUAACUGACGCUGAGGCUCGAAAGCGUGGGUAGCAAACAGG
rnacentral:rRNA from 1 species